CCCUUAGAUGUCCUGGGCCGCACGCGCGCUACACUGAUGCAUUCAACGAGUAUUUCCUUGGCCGAGAGGCCUGGGCAAUCUUUUAAACCUGCAUCGUGAUAGGGAUAGAUUAUUGCAAUUAUUAAUCUUGAACGAGGAAUUCCUAGUAAACGCAAAUCAUCAAUUUGCAUUGAUUACGUCCCUGCCCUUUGUACACACCGCCCGUCGCACCUACCGAUUGAAUGGUCCGGUGAAAUCUCGGGAUUGUGGCCAGUUCACUUUAUUGGGAGUUGGCUACGAGAACUUGCUUAAACCUUAUCAUUUAGAGGAAGGUGAAGUCGUAACA
rnacentral:rRNA from 1 species